rnacentral:rRNA from 1 species
AUUGAACGCUGGCGGCAGGCCUAACACAUGCAAGUCGAGCGGAUGAAGGGAGCUUGCUCCUGGAUUCAGCGGCGGACGGGUGAGUAAUGCCUAGGAAUCUGCCUGGUAGUGGGGGAUAACGUCCGGAAACGGGCGCUAAUACCGCAUACGUCCUGAGGGAGAAAGUGGGGGAUCUUCGGACCUCACGCUAUCAGAUGAGCCUAGGUCGGAUUAGCUAGUUGGUGGGGUAAAGGCCUACCAAGGCGACGAUCCGUAACUGGUCUGAGAGGAUGAUCAGUCACACUGGAACUGAGACACGGUCCAGACUCCUACGGGAGGCAGCAGUGGGGAAUAUUGGACAAUGGGCGAAAGCCUGAUCCAGCCAUGCCGCGUGUGCGAAGAAGGUCUUCGGAUUGUAAAGCACUUUAAGUUGGGAGGAAGGGCAGUAAGUUAAUACCUUGCUGUUCUGACGUUACCAACAGAAUAAGCACCGGCUAACUUCGUG